GCCUUGUGGUUCCUAGAGUCGGCUAAAAGUGCCGAGCUGUAGGUUUUAAUUGACGGGCGCAUACGAACUUCUGCGAUUUUAUGCAUGGAACCUGCAGCUACAGCAGCGCUCCAUAGCCCGGUUGCAGAUACACUU
ensembl:snoRNA